UUCCAGACUCCUACGGGAGGCAGCAGUGGGGAAUAUUGCACAAUGGGGGGAACCCUGAUGCAGCGACGCCGCGUGGGUGAAGAAGUCAUUCGUGACGUAAAGCCCUAUCAGCAGGGAAGAAAAUGACGGUACCUGACUAAGAAGCCCCGGCUAACUACGUGCCAGCAGCCGCGGUAAUACGUAGGGGGCAAGCGUUGUCCGGAUUUACUGGGUGUAAAGGGCGUGUAGCCGGGCUGACAAGUCAGAUGUGAAAUUCCGGGGCUCAACCCCGGACCUGCAUUUGAAACUGUUGGUCUUGAGUAUCGGAGAGGCAGGCGGAAUUCCUAGUGUAGCGGUGAAAUGCGUAGAUAUUAGGAGGAACACCAGUGGCGAAGGCGGCCUGCUGGACGACAACUGACGGUGAGGCGCGAAAGCGUGGGGAGCAAACAGGAUUAGAUACCCCCGUA
rnacentral:rRNA from 1 species